UUGACCUCGGAUCAGGUAGGAAUACCCGCUGAACUUAAGCAUUUAAUAAGGGGCGGG
rnacentral:rRNA from 1 species